GUGGUGAUUAACCAGGAAGACUCACUUGAAAAGUUAUAACCCUGAUAAAUUUGCACAGCUUUUUCAACUUAUUUUUAAUUUUUAACUGAAAUAGUUUUUCAAAUUUUAGUAUGUUACAUCUGUGCAAGAAAAAAGUAUCCAAAUAUUGUGCUCGAAAAUUUGCCAAAGAACUACACUGCAAAGUGUAAUGAAAUUCAUCACCAAUCUCGUUACAUUGACAUAAGUUACAAUAUCUAAGGUUUCGCUCAAUCUUAUUCCAUCUACCAGUUUCGAUGGGUAACUUAUGGUUACCCGUACGAAAUCUACAAUAUGUUAUUCUAUCUUUAUCAUUUAAAAUAUUCAGAUAUUCCUCAAAUUCAAAAUUUUGUUUAUACAAUUUGUAGGCCAAACCUUUUGGCGAACAGUCAAUAUCAGCUCUCCAUUUCUGUUGAAACUGAUCAAAUAACUUUUGUUUUAAACUAAUACCCAACCACUUAGAAUUAAAAUUUCCUUGUGACAACCAUAUAUUGCUGUAUCCACAUUUAUCUAAUAUAUCUUUAAUGCAUUUCAACCAAUCUGACCUAAAUUGGUUGUCCGAAUUUUUCAAGAACACGUAUUUGUAUAGUAUUUUAGCAAUCCUGUUAUCAUCCCCAUUAACCAUUUUUGACCAAAAAUUAACCAUACGCAGCUGUAUAUAUAAAGACAUGGGAUAAAUACCAAGUUCACCAUAAAUCAUAAAAUUGGGUGUCGACUUCUUAAGGUUUAAUAAUAAUUUACAAAAUUUUAGGUGCACUUUUUCUAUAAUAUCAGUAUUACUGAAACCCCAAAUCUCACACCCAUACAGGAGAAUUGGCUUCACAAUUUUAUCAAAAAGAUCAUAUUGUGAUUUCACUGACAAGUUGUGCAACCUCCCCUUUUUCAAUACUUCAUACAUUGCUUUAUUUGCUUUUCUAACUAAAAUCUUCUUAGCACUCAUAAAGCUACCUGUUCUUGAAAAAUUCAACCCAAGAUAUGUCAAUUCAUUGACUAUCUCCAAUGCAUUUCCGUCAUAUAUAAAGUUAAUAUUUUGGGGUAAUCUACCACCAGAAAAAAUUAUAAUCUUAGUUUUACUUGUGUUAACUUUUAAUUUCCAGGUACUGCAAUAUUCAAAGAAUAUAUCUAAUUGCAACUGUAGAUCGGAUGCAUUAUCCGAAAAUAACACUGUAUCAUCUGCGUAUAAUAACACAAACAGUUUUAAGUAGAUAUCAAACUCAUUCUCUAUUUCAUCAGUAAUACAAUUUAAACCACAUACAUUUUUUUCUUCAAUAAACUGUUGAAGAUCGUUCAAAUACAAUGAAAAUAAAAAAGGAGACAUAUUUUCACCCUGUCUUACACCGAUAUUGCAUGAAAAGUAUUCUGACAUUUCACCAUUAUACAUAAUACGAGAUUUAAUACCAGUGUACAUAUUAAAAAUUACAUUAUACAUUUUACCGUUAAUAUCAUUCACAAGUAAUUUAUGCCAAAGACCCUUUCUCCAAACAGUAUCAAAGGCUUUAGCAAAAUCUACGAAUGCACAGAAUAGUUUCUUUUUCUUAUUUUUCAUGAUACUAAUAAGCAUGUAGAUAACAAAUAAAUUAUCUGUAGUAGAAUAACCUUCUCUGAAACCAGCUUGAUUCUGACAUAGUAAACAAAAAUCAUCAGAAAAUUUAUUCAAACGUGAAUUCAAAAUAGAAGUAAAUAAUUUCCCAAAGCAGCUUAUAACUGUUAUAGGUCUAAAAUUGCUAGGAUCAUGUUUGUUACCUUUAUUCUUAAAUAAAGGUAUAAUAUUUCCAGAAAGCCAAUUUUCAGGGAUAGUUCCACUGUCAAAUAUAAUAUUAAAAAGUUUCACAAACACCUGUGACAUAACACUAAAAGAGUGUUUUAAAUAUUCAUUUACAAUCAUAUCAUCACCAGAGGAUUUAUUAUUUUUUAACUUUCUCAAAGAUUUUUCAAUUUCCUCUUCUGUAAUAGGUGAAUUUAAUAUAACAUUUAAAUCUUUUACAUUGUUCUGAUUUUCUAAAACAAUCUCUUCAUCUUCAGAAUUUCCUAAAUUUAAGUUCUUAAAAUAAUCAAACAAAAUAUUAAUAGGUACACAUGGAUUGUUUCCCCUUUUACCACCGUUCAAAAUCUUCCAGUAUUCUUUCGGGUUAAUCGAUCUUAAGUUUUCUAUCUUGUGUCUAAUUUUCUUUCUAUGUUUACGAAUGCUCUUAUCCAUUACUCGCUUAUAACUCUUUUCUAGUUUCUUUGUUUCAUUCACUCUGUCGUCAGUAUGGUUUCGCUUAAGUUUUCGUCUACUAGACCGAAACUUUUUUCUAGCUUCCUUACAUUCGCUAUCGAAACCAUGGUUUUGAUUUUUUUAUAUUUUGUGUAUGCUUACGUCUUUUAGUAAAUGUGCCGAAUGUAGACUUUGCCGCAUUUGUAAGUAAAUGACAUACAUCCUCAACAACUUUAUUAAUAAUUGAGUUUUCACUUGUAUUUUCAACCAUUUCCGUUAAUUGAGCUAGUAUUUCAUUUACUUUAAGUCUAUCAAUGUUACUAAUAAAGGUGUCUAAUUGCUCAUUUUCCCAUCUCUUAAUCUUCUCCUCAGGCAUUUCAUCAUCAUGACUGACGUCGUUUUGUUUUUCAUAACAAGUAAUCUUUAACGACAGUGGAUUAUGAAUAUCCGAAAAUAAAACGCUAGAAUUUAAUACUGAAAAAUUUUGAACCAGCUUAAGAAAAUUUGGGGAAGCAAUAUUGUAAUCCACUACACUAGUGUUUUUACAUGUAAAACUAC
rnacentral:lncRNA from 1 species